rnacentral:rRNA from 1 species
GAUGAACGCUGGCGGCGUGCCUAAUACAUGCAAGUCGAGCGAACAGACGAGGAGCUUGCUCCUCUGAUGUUAGCGGCGGACGGGUGAGUAACACGUGGAUAACCUACCUAUAAGACUGGGAUAACUUCGGGAAACCGGAGCUAAUACCGGAUAACAUGUUGAACCGCAUGGUUCAACAGUGAAAGACGGUCUUGCUGUCACUUAUAGAUGGAUCCGCGCCGCAUUAGCUAGUUGGUAAGGUAACGGCUUACCAAGGCAACGAUGCGUAGCCGACCUGAGAGGGUGAUCGGCCACACUGGAACUGAGACACGGUCCAGACUCCUACGGGAGGCAGCAGUAGGGAAUCUUCCGCAAUGGGCGAAAGCCUGACGGAGCAACGCCGCGUGAGUGAAGAAGGUCUUCGGAUCGUAAAACUCUGUUAUUAGGGAAGAACAAAUGUGUAAGUAACUAUGCACGUCUUGACGGUACCUAAUCAGAAAGCUACGGCUAACUACGUG